rnacentral:rRNA from 1 species
GACGAACCGUCCUAACGUUGUUCGGAUUUACUGGGCGUAAAGGGCGCGUAGGCGGCAUAUUAAGUCAGCUGUGAAAUCUCCGAGCUUAACUCGGAACUGUCAGCUGAUACUGAUGUGCUAGAGUGCAGAAGGGGCAAUCGGAAUUCUUGGUGUAGCGGUGAAAUGCGUAGAUAUCAAGAGGAACACCUGAGGUGAAGACGGGUUGCUGGGCUGACACUGACGCUGAGGCGCGAAAGCCAGGGGAGCAAACGGG